ACGUCUGAGGAGGAGUGGCCGGAGGGUCAGGGGCGCCCGCCCGCCCGCCCCCGACACCGGGAGGAUGCGGCCCCAGGCUCACCGAGAGGCGUCUCGUCCAUCAGGGAUUUGCCGUUCAGACCCUGGGAAGGCCAGAAGACCAGAGCAGGAGGUCGAGGCCUGUCCUCAAGGAGUUCCCAUGCUCUUCAUGGUAUGAGCAGCCUGGCAGGCGGAGGACCGCACUGCCCUGAGUAUGUGCUAGUUCCCUUGGGUGGCAGCAUCCGUGGUCUCGGCCCACGUCCCGCUCUGCACGCCAGGGUGCAGGCAGGGUAAGCAAAGGUCGUUCCGGGCAGCCGCCUCCAGAAGGGCAACGCUGGGGGUGAAGAGGACCCGCUUCUGUGGCGAGCCGCCGGCCG